GACAGAGGGUGCAAACGUUGUUCGGAAUUACUGGGCGUAAAGCGCGUGUAGGCGGCUAAGUAAGUCGGGCGUGAAAUCCCACGGCUCAACCGUGGAAGUGCACUCGAAACUGCAUAGCUAGAGUCCUGGAGAGGAAGGUGGAAUGCUUGGUGUAGAGGUGAAAUUCGUAGAUAUCAAGCGGAACACCGGUGGCGAAGGCGGCCUUCUGGACAGUGACUGACGCUGAGACGGCGAAAGCGUGGGGAGCAACAGG
rnacentral:rRNA from 1 species